UUACAUACCUGGAAGGGGAGAUAACCUGACCUGGCAGGGGAUUCUCCUGCGUGAGGCUCCUCUAUUGCGCUGCGGGAGUGCUGACCCCUACGAUUUCCCCACAUGUGGGAAACUCGACUGCAGAAUUUGUGGUAGUGGGGGACUGCCUGCGCCCUCUCCCCUG